rnacentral:tRNA from 1 species
UGGAUGUAGCCCAGUGGCAGGGCACUUGUCUAGCAUGCAUGAUGCCCUGGGUUUGAUCCCAGCAUUGCAA